GGGUCACAAUGGGGCUCUAUGGGGUCCCUAUGGGCCCUAAUGGGGUCAUUAUGGGGCAGUUAUGGGGUCACUGUGGAGCUCUAUGGGGUCAUUACGGAGCUCUCUGGGGUCCCUAUGGGGCUCUAUGGGGUCCCUAUGGGGCUCUAUGGGGACACUGUGGGGCUGUUAUGGGGUCACUGUGGAGCUCUAUGGGGCCAUUAUGGAGCUCUCUGGGGUCCCUAUGGGGCUCUAUGGGGUCGCUAUAGGGCUGUUAUGGGGUCACUAUGGGACUCUAUGGGGACACUGUGGGGCUCUAUGGGGUCACUAAGGAGCUCUAUGGGGUCCCUAUGGGGCUGUUAUAGCGUCUCUAUGGAGCUCUAUGGGGUCACUAUGGGGCUCUAUGGGGUCACUAUGGGGCUCUAUGGGGUCCCUGUGGGGCUUUAUGGGGUCCCUAUGGAGCUCUAUUGGGUCCCUAUGGGGUUAUAGCGUCUCUAUGGAGCUCUAUGGGGUCACUAUGGGGCUUAAUGGGGACACUGUGGGGCUCUAUGGGGUCACUAUGGAGCUUUGUGGGGUCACUGUGGAGCUCUAUGGGGUCCCUAUGGAGCUCUAUGGGGUCACUAUGGGGCUCUAUGGGGUCACUAUGGAGUUACUUGGGGUACCUAUGGAGCUCUAUGGGGUCACUAUGGGGCUCUAUGGGGUCACUGUGGGGCUCGAUGGGAUCACUAUAGGGCUCUAUGGGGUCACUGUAGGGCUGUUAUUGGGUCCCUAUGGGGCUCUACGGGGUCCCUAUGGGCCCCAAUGAGGUCACUAUGGGGCUGUUAUGGGGUCACUGUGGAGCUCUCUGGGGUCCCUGUGGGGCUCUAAGGGGUCACUGUGGGGCUCUACGGUGCCACUAUGGGGCUCGAUGGGGUCCCUAUGGGCCCCAAUGAGGUCAUUAUGGGACUGUUAUGGGGUCUCUAUGGAACUCUAUGGGGUCACCAUGGGGCUCUAUUUGUUCACUAUGGGGCUCUAUGGGGUCACUGUGUGGCUCUAUUGGGUCACUAUGGGCCCCAAUGAGGUCACAAUGGGGUUCUAUGGGGUCCCUAUGGGCCCUAAUGGGGUCAUUAUGGGGCAGUUAUGGGGUCACUGUGGGGCUCUAUGGGGUCAUUACGGAGCUCUCUGGGGUCCCUAUGGGGCUCUUUGGGGUCCCUAUAGGGCUCUAUGGAGUCCCUAUGUGGCUCUAUGGGGUCACUAUGGGGCUCAUUGGGGUCACUGUGGGGCUCUAUGGGGUCACUAUGGGGCUCUAUGGGGACACUGUGGGGCUCUAUGGGGUCACUAUGGGGCUGUAAUGGGGUCUCUAUGGAACUCUAUGGGGUCACUAUGGGGCAGUUCUGGUGUCACUAUGGGGCUCUAUGGGGUCACUGUGUGGCUCUAUUGGGUCAUUAUGGGGUUCUAUGGGGUCACUAUGUGGCUCUAUGGAGUCCCUAUGGGGCUCUAUGGGGUCAUUGUGGGGCUCUAUGGCGUCACUGUGGGGCUCUAUGGGGUCCCUAUGGGGCUCUAUGGGGACACUGUGGGGCUCUAUGGGGUCACUCUGGGGCUCUAUGGGGUCACUAUGGGGCUGUUAUGGGGUCACCGUGGAGCUCUAUGGGGUUACUAUGGAGGUAUAUGGGGUCCCUUUUGAGCUCUAUGGGGUCGCUAUGGGGCUGUUAUGGGGUCACUAUGGGGCUCUAUGGGGUCACUAUGCUGCUGUGAUUGGGUCAUUAUGGAGCUCUAUGGGGUCACUAUGGGGCUCUAUGGGGUCCCUAUGGGGCUCUAUGGGGACACUGUGGGGUUCUAUGGGGUCACCGUGGAGCUCUAUGGGGUCACUAUGGGGCUGUUAUGGGGUCACCGUGGAGCUCUAUGGGGUCACUAUGGAGGUAUAUGGGGUGCCUAUUGAGCUCUAUAGGGUCGCUAUGGGGCUGUUAUGGGGUCCCUAUGGGGCUCUUUGGGGUCCCUAUAGGGCUCUGUGGAGUCCCUAUGGGGCUCUAUGGGGUCACUGUGGGGCUCUAUGGGGUCACGAUGGAGCUCUAUGGGGUCCCUAUGGGGCUCUAUGGGGUCCCUAUGCGGCUCUAUGGGGACACUGUGGGGCUUUAUGGGGUCACUGUGGAGCUCUAUGGGGUCAUUACAGAGCUCUCUGGGGUCCCUAUGGGGCUCUAUGGGGUCACUAUGGGCCUCAAUGAGGUCACUAUGGGGCUGUUAUGGGGUCUCUAUGGAACCCUAUGGGCUCGCUAUGGGGCAGUUAUGGGGUCAUUAUGGAGCUCUUUGGGGUCCCUAUGGAGCUCUAUGGGGUCACCUUGGAGCUCUAUGGGGUCUCUAUGGAGCUCUAUGGGGUCCCUAUGGGGCUCUAUGGGGUCACUACGGGGCUCUAUGGGGUCACUGUGGGGCAGUUAUGGGGUCACUAUGGGACUCUAUGGGGUCACUAUGGGGCAGUUAUGGGUUCACUAUGGAGCUCUAUGGGGUCACUAUGGGGCAGUUAUGGGGUCACUAUGGGGCUCUAUGGGGUCACUGUGGGGCUCUAUGGGGUCACUGUGCAGCUCUAUUGGGCUGUUAUGGGGGCACCACUGUGUUCAGCUAUGGGGUCAGCGAUGGGAUCCCUUAUGGGGUCUCUUAUGGGGUCAGUAUGGGGUCAGCAAUGGGAUCCCUUAUGGGGUCUCUUAUGGGGUCGCUUAUGGGGUCAGUAUGGGGUCAGCAAUGGGAUCCCUUAUGGGGUCUCUUAUGGGGUCGCUUAUGGGGUCAGUAUGGGGUCAGCAAUGGGAUCCCUUCUGAGGUCACUUAUGGGGUCUCUUAUGGGGUCAGUAUGGGGUCAGCAAUGGGAUCCCUUAUGGGGAUCACUUAUAGGGCACUUAUGGGGUCAGCGUUGGGAUCCUUUAUGGGGUCACUUAUGGGGUCAGCGAUGGGAUGCCUUAUGGGGUCUCUUAUGAGGUCAGUAUGGGGUCAGCGAUGGGAUCCCUUAUGGGGUCACUUAUGGGGUCAGUUUGGGUCAGCAAUUGGAUCCCUUAUGGGGUUGCUUCUGGGGUCAGCGAUGGGAUUCCUUAUGGGGUCUCUUAUGGGGUCAGUAUGGGAUCCCUUCUGGGGUCACUUAUGGGGCACUUAUGGGGUCAGUGAUGGGAUCUCUAUGGGGUCACUUCUGGGGUCAGUGUGGGUCAGCGAUGGGAUGCCUUAUGGGGUCACUUAUAGGGUCUCUUAGGGGGUCAGCAAUUGGAUCCCUUAUGGGGUCGCUUCUGGGGUCAGCGAUGGGACUCCUUAUGGGGUCUCUUAUGGGGUCAGCGAUGGGAACCCUUAUGGGGUCUCUUAUGGGGUCAGUAUGGGGUCAGCAAUCGGAUCCCUUAUGGGGUCACUUAUGGGGUCAGUAUGGGGUCAGCAAUGGGAUCCCUUCUGCGGUCACUUAUGGGGCA
ensembl:lncRNA